UGAGGAAUUUUGCGCAAUGGGGGAAACCCUGACGCAGCAAUGCCGCGUGAGUGAUGAAGGCCUUUGGGUCGUAAAGCUCUGUCAAGUGGGAAGAAAUGGUCGGUGGUUAAUACCCAUCGAUUUUGACGGUACCACUGAAGGAAGCACCGGCUAACUCCGUGCCAGCAGCCGCGGUAAUACGGGGGGUGCAAGCGUUAUUCGGAAUUAUUGGGCGUAAAGCGCGCGUAGGCGGUUUCGUAGGUCAGAUGUGAAAGCCCGGGGCUCAACCCCGGACGUGCAUUUGAAACCCCGAAACUUGAGUACGGGAGAGGGAAGUGGAAUUCCAGGUGUAGAGGUGAAAUUCGUAGAUAUCUGGAGGAACACCGGUGGCGAAGGCGACUUCCUGGACCGAUACUGACGCUGAGGUGCGAAGGCGUGGGGAGCAAACAGGAUUAGAUACCCCCGUAGUCC
rnacentral:rRNA from 1 species